GGGCCGGUAGCUCAGUGGUAGAGCAGGGGCCUUUUAAGCCCAGGGUCGUGGGUUCGAUCCCCACCCGGCCCA
rnacentral:tRNA from 1 species